rnacentral:rRNA from 1 species
AUGGAUCACCGCUUUAGUGAAGAAGCAAAUUGUGUGCUUGAUUGCUUCUCAUGUCUUGACCCCAAGGACUCUUUCUCCAAGUUCAAUGUUGACAAACUUGCUCGUCUUGCUGAAAUUUAUCAUGAAGACUUCUCUAAUGAUGAUCGUGGAACAAUAAGAGAGAAGCUCCUCACUUAUAUAAGUCAAGUGAAAAGGCAUGCUUCUUUUUCUACUUGUGAUGAUGUUCAAAGUUUGGCCGUGAAGAUGGUUGAAACUAAGGAAAAUCUGGUAUUUCCAUUGGUAUACAAACUUAUUGAGUUGGCUUUGAUAUUGCCGGUGUCAACUGCAUCUGUUGAGAGAGCAUUUUCAGCAAUGAAGAUUAUCAAGAAUAAAUUGUGUAGCAAGAUCAACAACGAAUGGUUCAACGACUUGAUGAUAUGUUACACCGAGCGGGAGUUAUUCAAGUCAGUUGAUGAUAAAGAUAUUAUUCGAACAUUUACAGCAAUGAAGUCUCGGAAAGGACAUUGGCCUCUGUCUUCUAGGUUAUAUUGA